GACGAACGCUGGCGGCGUGCUUAACACAUGCAAGUCGAGCGGAAAGGCCCUUCGGGGUACUCGAGCGGCGAACGGGUGAGUAACACGUGAGUAACCUGCCCCAGACUUUGGGAUAACCCUCGGAAACGGGGGCUAAUACCGGAUACGACACAGCUUCGCAUGGGGUCUGUGUGGAAAGUUUUUCGGUUUGGGAUGGGCUCGCGGCCUAUCAGCUUGUUGGUGGGGUGAUGGCCUACCAAGGCGACGACGGGUAGCCGGCCUGAGAGGGCGACCGGCCACACUGGGACUGAGACACGGCCCAGACUCCUACGGGAGGCAGCAGUGGGGAAUGUUGCACAAUGGGCGGAAGCCUGAUGCAGCGACGCCGCGUGAGGGAUGACGGCCUUCGGGUUGUAAACCUCUUUCAGCAGGGACGAAGCGUAAGUGACGGUACCUGCAGAAGAAGCGCCGGCCAACUACGUG
rnacentral:rRNA from 1 species